GGCUCAGAACGAACGCUGGCGGCAUGCCUAAUACAUGCAAGUCGAACGGAGAUAGCAAUAUCUUAGUGGCGAACGGGUGCGUAACACGUGAGCAACCUGCCUUAUACAUCGGAAUAACAGCUGGAAACGGCUGCUAAUACCGGAUAAGACCACACCAAGGCAUCUUGGAGAGGUCAAAGCGAAUUAGCGGUAUAAGAUGGGCUCGCGUCCAAUUAGCUAGUUGGUGGGGUAACGGCCCACCAAGGCAACGAUUGGUAGCCGACUUGAGAGAGUGAUCGGCCACACUGGAACUGAGACACGGUCCAGACUCCUACGGGAGGCAGCAGUAGGGAAUAUUGGACAAUGGAGGAAACUUCCUUACCCAGCAAUGCCGCGUGAAUGAUGAAGGUCUUAUGGAUUGUAAAGUUCUUUAAUUGGGGACGAAAGAAAUGACGGUACCCAAAGAAUAAGCCCCGGCUAACUAUGUGCCAGCCGCUGC
rnacentral:rRNA from 1 species